rnacentral:rRNA from 1 species
UACGGGGGGAGCAAGCGUUGUUCGGAUUUACUGGGCGUAAAGGGCGCGUAGGCGGCCACCGCAAGUCAAUUGUGAAAUCUCCGGGCUUAACUCGGAAAGGUCAACUGAUACUGCGGGGCUAGAGUGCGGAAGGGGCAACUGGAAUUCUUGGUGUAGCGGUGAAAUGCGUAGAUAUCAAGAGGAACACCUGCGGCGAAGGCGGGUUGCUGGGCCGACACUGACGCUGAGGCGCGAAAGCUAGGGGAGCGAACAGG